GGGCACGACACCGGAGAGGGAGCCUGAGAAACGGCUACCACAUCCAAGGAUGGCAGCAGGCGCGCAAAUUACCCAAUCCCGACACGGGGAGGUAGUGACAAUAAAUAACAAUACGGGGUUCUUUCGGAUCUCGUAAUUGGAAUGAGUACAAUUUAAAUCUCUUAACGAGGAACAAUUGGAGGGCAAGUCUGGUGCCAGCAGCCGCGGUAAUUCCAGCUCCAAUAGCGUAUAUUAAAGUUGUUGCAGUUAAAAAGCUCGUAGUUGAAUUUCGGGAUCGAAUUGUUGGUCGUGCUUCGGUACGUACUGGCAUUAUUGGUUCCUACCCUCUGAAGAACCGCGAUGUCAUUAAUUUGGUGUCGUGGGGAAUCAGGACUGUUACUUUGAAAAAAUUAGAGUGUUUAAAGCAGGCUUACGCUUGAAUACAUUAGCAUGGAAUAAUGAAAUAGGACGUUUGAUUCUAUUUUGUUGGUUUCUAGGAUCGACGUAAUGAUUAAUAGGGAUAGUUGGGGGCAUUAGUAUUCAAUUGUCAGAGGUGAAAUUCUUGGAUUUAUUGAAGACUAACUACUGCGAGAGCAUUUGCCAAGGAUGUUUUCAUUAAUCAAGAACGAAAGUUAGGGGAUCGAAGACGAUCAGAUACCGUCGUAGUCUUAACCAUAAACUAUGCCGACUAGGGAUCGGAUGAUGUUAAUUUUAUAAUGACUC
rnacentral:rRNA from 1 species